rnacentral:rRNA from 1 species
AAAUUGAAGAGUUUGAUCAUGGCUCAGAUUGAACGCUGGCGGCAGGCCUAACACAUGCAAGUCGAACGGUAACAGGAAGCAGCUUGCUGCUUCGCUGACGAGUGGCGGACGGGUGAGUAAUGUCUGGGAAACUGCCUGAUGGAGGGGGAUAACUACUGGAAACGGUAGCUAAUACCGCAUAACGUCGCAAGACCAAAGAGGGGGACCUUAGGGCCUCUUGCCAUCGGAUGUGCCCAGAUGGGAUUAGCUAGUAGGUGGGGUAACGGCUCACCUAGGCGACGAUCCCUAGCUGGUCUGAGAGGAUGACCAGCCACACUGGAACUGAGACACGGUCCAGACUCCUACGGGAGGCAGCAGUGGGGAAUAUUGCACAAUGGGCGCAAGCCUGAUGCAGCCAUGCCGCGUGUAUGAAGAAGGCCUUCGGGUUGUAAAGUACUUUCAGCGGGGAGGAAGGGAGUAAAGUUAAUACCUUUGCUCAUUGACGUUACCCGCAGAAGAAGCACC